rnacentral:tRNA from 1 species
UGCGGGGUGGAGCAGAGGCAGCUCGCCAGGCUCAUAACCUGGAGGUCGGGGGUUCGAAUCCCCCCCCCGCUA